rnacentral:rRNA from 1 species
AUUAAAGGAAAUAAGAGCGCACAGUGGAUGCCUAGGCACCAAGAGCUGAUGAAGGACGCAAUUAACGGCGAAAC